CCUACGGGUGGCAGCAGUGAGGAAUAUUGGUCAAUGGACGAGAGUCUGAACCAGCCAAGUAGCGUGAAGGAUGACUGCCCUAUGGGUUGUAAACUUCUUUUAUAUGGGAAUAAAAUGUUCCACGUGUGGGAUUUUGUAUGUACUAUAUGAAUAAGGAUAGGCUAACUCCGUGCCAGCAGCCGCGGUAAUACGGAGGAUCCGAGCGUUAUCCGGAUUUAUUGGGUUUAAAGGGAGCGUAGGUGGAUUGUUAAGUCAGUUGUGAAAGUUUGCGGCUCAACCGUAAAAUUGCAGUUGAAACUGGCAGUCUUGAGUACAGUAGAGGUAGGCGGAAUUCGUGGUGUAGCGGUGAAAUGCUUAGAUAUCACGAAGAACUCCGAUUGCGAAGGCAGUUCACUGGACUGCAACUGACACUGAGGCUCGAAAGUGUGGGUAUCAAACAGGAUUAGAUACCCUUGUAGUC
rnacentral:rRNA from 1 species